rnacentral:rRNA from 1 species
UUUGAAAUCUGGCCUCUUUGGGGGUCCGAGUUGUAAUUUGUAGAGGAUGUUUCGGGUACCGCCCCGGUCUAAAUUUCUUGGAACAGAAUGUCAAAGAGGGUGAGAAUCCCGUCUUGGAUCGGUGGUAGGGCCCAUGUGAAACUCCUUCGACGAGUCGAGUUGUUUGGGAAUGCAGCUCAAAAUGGGUGGUAAAUUUCAUCUAAAGCUAAAUAUUGGCCAGAGACCGAUAGCGCACAAGUAGAGUGAUCGAAAGAUGAAAAGCACUUUGAAAAGAGAGUUAAACAGUAUGUGAAAUUGUUGAAAGGGAAGCGCUUACAACCAAACUUGAUCGCGGCGGUUCCCCCUUCCUUCUGGUUGG